UUGGCAAAAAAUCUCGGGUAGAACUUGCGUGACAUUGUGGUUGGUGAUAUUGUGACAUUGAUCAACUACAAUGUCACAAGUAUCUUUCUUCUUUCUUUUUGACAAUAUUUUUUUAUUUUUUUGUACACGUGUGAUAAUGUGAUUGACCAAUAUCGUCAAUAUCACCAACCAUAAUAUCAACCAAUUAUUAUCCAAAAAUCACCCUUCCCUCGUAUUAUAAAUAAAUGUUCAAGUCUUGAAGAAAGUAAGCCCUAUCAUCAUUCAGAUACUCAUUACUUUUAAACAACAAAGAAACCAUGGCAUCAACUGAGCCUAAUAACGAUUUUUUAGUCAGGUGCAAAGGAUGCAGUAGCUUCAGCACAGACAACUGUGGGAAAUGCUGCAGCUGGUGUCCAGACAACUGUGGGAAAUGCUGCAGCUAAUGUUCAGAAGACCGUAGGAGAAUAUGCUACCAAGGCUGCUGAUUUUGUGCAGUCCAAACCAGAAGAGCCAGCCAAACCUGAAGGUGUGAUUGCUGGUGCUAAAAAUGCUGUUGGAGGCUUAUUUAAGAAAUGAAACAUCACUGAUUUCACUUUAGCAUCCUGUGAUUAAUUAAUUAAUUAAUUAAUAAGGAUACUAAACUUGUCAUCCCUUCAAGUAUGUGUAUAAGUUAGCACUGUGUAUCUUAUCAUAUAAACUAUAGGAUAGGAUAUACUAAGUUGGAUCCAAUAUGUAAGGUAACAGAGCUCUGCUCUUCACUUUACUGAUCCUGCCUCUGAUUGUUUAUGUUUUUCCUAAUUCUGUUGCAUAUUUAUUAUUCAAUUCUGUUUCCUUUCUCUUAUUUUGUUCUCUUUUGGCUACUUCAAAUUUUGUGCUUUUUCUAUAUGUGUUAAUUAAAUUUAUAUAAAUUACUCCUCCUAAAUAAAAAUAGAUAAUGUAACUGUACAAAAAAAUUAUAUAAAGUUAUAUUAAAUGAAUAAAACUUUCAAUUAUCAUAAGAAGCGUAUAUAUUAAUUGGGAGAUCUCGCAGGUAAAAUCUGAUCAAUGAUUAUUUUAGUCAAGAUUUAAAUUUGGGUUCCUAAAUGCUUUGUUAUUUUUUAUAUUUCUUUUUAAUUUCGAAAAUAUAUUGAAUUUGCAAAGAAAAUUAUACAGGAAUGAAAAACAAGUGAGUAAUAAGUUGUGUCGUUAACCCUUUUUGGAAGACAAAAAGGGUUCUUAAUUGAAGUUAAUUAAUCAUUUAAGCAUAAUGACAUAGUUUUGGGUUACCAUGUUAUCGGUAUAAAGUUUUCACCGUCGUUUUACAAAUGAUUAAUCCGUUUCAGAGAAUCUGUGGGCAUAUACAAAACUAGAUCGUCCACCGGUGCUGCCGCACGGGUCAUAUAUAGUUAAAAACAUAACGCAAUGAUCUUUAUAAUACACGUUAUUUAUUCGAUAAAGCCUUGUGAGUGAGUUAAAUAUAAUCUCUUAUAAACGUCGAAUUGGUACGAAUAAGUUAACAAUGUGUUUAGAAAUAACAAACAUUCACAAUCACUAUUGGAGCAUAUAAUAAUGCAUCAACAAUGUCAUAACACGUGUAAUCAAAAAACAUAUUGACGGACAUGUCCCAUAACAAUAUUAGUCAUUAACGGUCUCAAUUGAAGAUAGGCUCAGGAAUAUUAGGCAUAAGCAAUCUCAACUGGAGCAUACAUUAAUGGAUUAACAAUUUAAUAUCACAUCUUCUCAAAGGAUCCAUUUAUGGGUAGGUCAUACAACAAAGAUGGCUAAACAACAUGCGAGUUGUCUUUCAAUUAACCUGACAAAAAGAAAAAA
rnacentral:lncRNA from 1 species